AUUGAACGCUGGCGGCAGGCUUAACACAUGCAAGUCGAACGAGUGGCGGACGGGUGAGUAAUGCUUGGGAAUCUAGCUUAUGGAGGGGGAUAACUACGGGAAACUGUAGCUAAUACCGCGUACCAAAGGAUGAGCCCAAGUGGGAUUAGGUGGUUGGUGAGGUAAGGGCUCGCCAAGCCGACGAACUCUAGCUGGUCUGAGAGGAUGACCAGCAACACUGGGACUGAGACACGGCCAAGCUCCCUACGGUAGGCAGCAGUGGGGAAUAUUGCGCAAUGGGGGCAACCUGACGCAGCCAUGCCGCGUGAAUGAAGAAGGCCUUCGGGUUGUAAAGUUCUUUCGGUAGCGAUGCGUUACCUACAGAAGAAGCACCGGCUAACUCCGUGCCAGCAGCCGCGGUAAUAC
rnacentral:rRNA from 1 species